GCCGGGCGCGGUGGCACGUGCCUGUAGUCCCAGCUACUCGGGAGGCUGAGGUGGGAGGACCGCUUGAGCCCAGGAGUUCUGGCCUGUAGUGCACUAUGCCAAUUGGGUGUCCGCACUGAGUUCAGCAUCAAUAUGGUGACCUCCUGGGAGCCGGGGAGCGCCAGGUUGCCUAAGGAGGGGUAACCUGGCCCAGGUGGGAAACGGAGCAGGUCAAAACUCCCAUGCUGAUCAGUAGUGGGAUCGCGCCUAUGAAUAGCCACUGCACUCCAGCCUGGGCAACAUAGGAGACCCCAUCUCUU
ensembl:misc_RNA Metazoa_SRP Metazoan signal recognition particle RNA